rnacentral:lncRNA from 1 species
AAACUGUGGAGCACGUCAAGAGAAAGCUCACUGAUCUGCCGAGGGUUUGUGCUUUUCUGUCUUCAUGCAUCUGUUGUGGGUGAAGAGAGCAAAGAUUCUUCAUUCAAUCAAAGGCCCCCUUUGGAGAUGCUGAGAAGGAAAUUUCCUUUGGAAAUUCCCAAAGAUACACGCAAGCAGUGUUGGAGCCGGAACUGGCCUCUAGAAAUGUCGACCAGUUGUCAUCCUCACCAGCAGACUACCGGAGUGUUUAUUUCUCUUCUGCUUUCGCCAGCUCUGGACAUUCUCACUAAAAAAUAAAACAACAAAUCCUGCAUGGCUUUAAGAAGUCUCUUUAUACAUAUGCAUACAUAGAAGCCGAAGGGUCCCGAAGCCAUUCUGAUUGGGCAACAAUUUGGAAGACAAAUGAUGACAGCCACAUUAUGGGGCAUGGCCAACCGACUGCCAUCCUGCUUGAGAGGGUCCAGCAAGCUGCACACAUUUGAAUGUUCACUCGGGAGAGCGCUCCUCUCUUCCUCUUCAAUUACCCAGCAUGGUUACAUGGUGCUUUUCACUCACCAAGCCCUGGAGGUUAAUUACUCCACACGGUGCCUUUUACCAGCAGGAGGUGUGCCUUGGCAGUCCUCAGCCCUGCACGUGGCCUGCCCAGAUGGGUGGCACAUCCCGCCCUCGCUGGCUGCUGGGUUUCAGUUUGUUUUUGUUUAUGUUGGCUCUGUUUCAACAGAGCCUACAGAUGUGGUCAAACUGGAAAGGGGGUGGGGGACUAGAAGCAAAGGGGGGAAAUAAAGGCGCCAAUCAUUUCUGA